GACAAACGCUGGCGGCGUGCCUAAAACAUGCAAGUCGAACGGUCCUUCGGGACAGUGGCGGACGGCUGAGUAACACGUAGGUGACCUACCCUUGAGUGGGGAAUAACGCUCCGAAAGGAGCGCUAAUACCGCAUACGACCACCGUUUUUCGGGACGGUGAGGAAAGCCGCAAGGUGCUCGAGGCUGGGCCUGCGUCCGAUUAGCUAGUUGGUGAGGUAACGGCCCACCAAGG
rnacentral:rRNA from 1 species